rnacentral:misc_RNA from 1 species
GAUGAAGGAACGCAGCGAAAUGCGAUAAGUAGUGUGAAUUGCAGAAUUCAGUGAAUCAUCGAAUCUUUGAACGCACAUUGCGCCCUUUGGUAUUCCAAAGGGCAUGCCUGUUCGAGCGUCAUUUGUACCCUCAAGCUUUGCUUGGUGUUGGGCGUCUUGUCUCCAGUUCGCUGGAGACUCGCCUUAAAGUAAUUGGCAGCCGGCCUACUGGUUUCGGAGCGCAGCACAAGUCGCGCUCUCUUCCAGCCAAGGUCAGCAUCCACAAAGCCUUUUUUCAACUUUUGACCUCGGAUCAGGUAGGGAUACCCGCUGAACUUAAGCAUAUCAAUAAGCGGAGGA